rnacentral:rRNA from 1 species
GGCGGACGGGUGAGUAACGCGUAGGAAUCUACCUAUUGGUGGGGGAUAGCCCAGGGAAACUUGGAUUAAUACCGCAUAAGCUCUUAGGAGGAAAGCGGGGGAUCUUCGGACCUCGUGCCAAUAGAUGAGCCUGCGUAAGAUUAGCUAGAUGGUGGGGUAAUGGCCUACCAUGGCGACGAUCUUUAGCUGGUCUGAGAGGAUGAUCAGCCACACUGGGACUGAGACACGGCCCAGACUCCUACGGGAGGCAGCAGUGGGGAAUAUUGCACAAUGGGCGCAAGCCUGAUGCAGCCAUGCCGCGUGUGUGAAGAAGGCCUUAGGGUUGUAAAGCACUUUCAGUGGGGAGGAAAGGUUAUAAGUUAAUACCUUAUAGCUGUGACGUUACCCACAGAAGAAGGACCGGCUAAUUCCGUGCCAGCAGCCGCGGUAAUACGGAAGGUCCGAGCGUUAAUCGAAAUUACUGGGCGUAAAGCGCAC